CACGCGCGCGGGCGGGAAGGAGGCGUGGGACGUGGCUGGCGGAGCCGCGGAGAGCUCGGGAGGGCGUGGCGGAGCAUUCAGUGCCCAACGACGCGGGGCGAGAGAGAGGAAGCGGCGUGGAGACCGCCACGCCAGCCGGGGCCCCGUGGAAGAAACAUAACCAUGUGGAGAGGCUGUUUAGGAAGAGAAAUACUCAGCCAACCCCUGACUUCCAGCAGAGAUGCCAGACAUGGGAGUGAAGAAGCCAUCUUGGACAUCCAUCCUGGUUGAGCCUUCAGGGCUUUAGAACUUGAACGAGACUUUCACUACCUCGAAAUUGGUGCCUGAUGACAGCACCUGAAGGGAAGACCACAAACUCCUGAUGAAGUGAUGAUUUCCCAGGUCACUUUACUGCCUCUUCUCUUGAGGCCCAGUUGUCCAGCUCUUCCUUACAUGCCCAGUAUCUUUCCAGUAUUCCAUUCUUGGCCUCAGAGGGAGGAUAGAAACAUCAAUGAUGAAAAUCAUCAAUCGGCUACCCCCUGCAUACCCAUUACCAGAGAUCAAGCCCACAACCCAGUCAUGUGUCCUGACCAGGAAUAGAACUGUGACCUCCUGGUUGAUGAGUCAACACUCAACCACUGAGCCACAUGGACUGGACACUACUAGAGAUUUUUAAUGUUCUCAUCAUAACAACAAAAAAAGGUAAUCACAUGAGGUGAAGGAUGUGUUAACUAAACUGGUAAACAUUUCAAAAUAUAUCCAUACAUCAUUACAUUUUAUACCUUAAACUUACAUUGUUAUUAUGUCAUUUUUACUCAAUAAAGCCGGAGAC